CGGGUGCGUAACACGUGAGCAACCUGCCCGAAGACCGGGACAACCCGAGGAAACUCGGACUAAUACCGGAUGUCCUCACCGGAUCGCAUGGUCUGGUGAGGAAAUGGAUUCCGCUUCGGGAUGGGCUCGCGGUCUAUCAGCUUGUUGGUGGGGUAACGGCCUACCAAGGCGACGACGGAUAGCUGGUCUGAGAGGACGAUCAGCCACACUGGGACUGAGACACGGCCCAG
rnacentral:rRNA from 1 species